rnacentral:rRNA from 1 species
GGUUAAGCGACUAAGCGUACACGGUGGAUGCCCUGGCAGUCAGAGGCGAUGAAGGACGUGCUAAUCUGCGAUAAGCGUCGGUAAGGUGAUAUGAACCGUUAUAACCGGCGAUUUCCGAAUGGGGAAACCCAGUGUGUUUCGACACACUAUCAUUAACUGAAUCCAUAGGUUAAUGAGGCGAACCGGGGGAACUGAAACAUCUAAGUACCCCGAGGAAAAGAAAUCAACCGAGAUUCCCCCAGUAGCGGCGAGCGAACGGGGAGGAGCCCAGAGCCUGAAUCAGUGUGUGUGUUAGUGGAAGCGUCUGGAAAGGCGCGCGAUACAGGGUGACAGCCCCGUACACAAAAAUGCACAUACUGUGAGCUCGAUGAGUAGGGCGGGACACGUGGUAUCCUGUCUGAAUAUGGGGGGACCAUCCUCCAAGGCUAAAUACUCCUGACUGACCGAUAGUGAACCAGUACCGUGAGGGAAAGGCGAAAAGAACCCCGGCGAGGGGAGUGAAAAAGAACCUGAAACCGUGUACGUACAAGCAGUGGGAGCCUCUUUWAUGGGGUGACUGCGUACCUUUUGUAUAAUGGGUCAGCGACUUAUAUUCUGUAGCAAGGUUAACCGAAUAGGGGAGCCGAAGGGAAACCGAGUCUUAACUGGGCGUUAAGUUGCAGGGUAUAGACCCGAAACCCGGUGAUCUAGCCAUGGGCAGGUUGAAGGUUGGGUAACACUAACUGGAGGACCGAACCGACUAAUGUUGAAAAAUUAGCGGAUGACUUGUGGCUGGGGGUGAAAGGCCAAUCAAACCGGGAGAUAGCUGGUUCUCCCCGAAAGCUAUUUAGGUAGCGCCUCGUGAAUUCAUCUCCGGGGGUAGAGCACUGUUUCGGCAAGGGGGUCAUCCCGACUUACCAACCCGAUGCAAACUGCGAAUACCGGAGAAUGUUAUCACGGGAGACACACGGCGGGUGCUAACGUCCGUCGUGAAGAGGGAAACAACCCAGACCGCCAGCUAAGGUCCCAAAGUCAUGGUUAAGUGGGAAACGAUGUGGGAAGGCCCAGACAGCCAGGAUGUUGGCUUAGAAGCAGCCAUCAUUUAAAGAAAGCGUAAUAGCUCACUGGUCGAGUCGGCCUGCGCGGAAGAUGUAACGGGGCUAAACCAUGCACCGAAGCUGCGGCAGCGAC